rnacentral:lncRNA from 1 species
UUGGUUUUGUUCUUUUGGUUUUUUUCUCGUUCUUUUUGUUUUUGUUUUUGCACAGCAUAACGUUAAUUCAGAUUUUUAAAGCUUUCUCGUAGUUAUUUAUUUAUACUCAGUGUAUGUAUUAGAGAAUGAUUAAUGUCUCAAAAACAGCAAGCUAUGAACUUUUGAAUGUACAGAUAUCUUGGGUCCGAAGGGGAAAAUUACAUAUUAUAAUCAUAAAAGAAUUGUAUCUUCCGUACCCCUAAACUUAGGAUCUCUUGAUACAAAUUGCUGUAAGUGCUUUUGGGAAAACUUUGCAACCGUUCGAUAAAACUGCUUUUCAGGUAAUUGACGAUUACAUAAAUUCUAUUGAUAUCACUUUUUCUCCUUCCUGUGAAUUGGCACAGUAUUGGCUUCCUUAAGACUAAUUACUUUUCCCUAGGUCUUUAUAACAGCUCAUUAAGUUGUUAUUAAGCUAAUUGAAAACAUGUAAGAGGUGAUUGCAUAGACAAUUUUUAAAAUAACUAUUACAUAAACUUUUCAAAGUAUGCUAUGAAAAUGACUCUGGAAUGCAGUGUAAAGCAGAAGCAAAUGGCCCCAAAUAACUUACUUGGAAAUAAUUUAUAUCAACUUAAGCUGUUAGCUCAUUGUAUUAGUUUUAUUAUGUGACCCUCACCAAUAUCCCUAAGCAAUGCCUUUGGAGCUUCAGAGAAGAGGAUGCUUCCUACUGUGUUAGCUGUGCUGAGACAUUAGGAUAAGGGGGAGAUGCAGAUUAGGAAAUGAUCCAGUUAGUUUAUCUGGAAGGUUAACUCCCAGAACUCCACAUCUCUUGAGCCCAGCCAGUAGUGUGAAUGUCAAAUUAAGCUGUAAGAGUUUGUUUCCCUGUGCUUGUGGAGCUGAUCCCACAGCAGGGCAUCUCCAGGAGGAGCCUGCAGUCCUGUGAAUGUCACCUUCCAGCGACAAGGGAUGGCUGGAGUCCUGGGUGCUGGACUCCACAAACUGCACUGGCCCUGGAGAGAAGGACCCUUGGCAUUGCUUUGGUCAGGUUAAAAGGGACACCCUCCCCCACCCACAGCCUAUGAGAGAGAAAACUCCUGCUUAUGCACAAAGUUUGCUGCAAGUGAAGCCCUCUGUCUGGGCACAGGACAAAGUAACCCUUAGACAGCAGUUCUGGGUGGCGGAUUGUUUGCACCACGAAAUCAUGCUCCGGAACUCCACUCCCCCACCUGAUGCAGGCUGUGGCAUUCCCACCGGCAGAGUCACACUCUACUCUGGAGGCGAGGCCUGCCUCUAGAAGUCAUCUGGGAGGAAUUCAGAGAAAAGAUCUGGAAGGACAGGUAUUGGCAAAGACUUAUUUUCCCAGGAUUAUCCCAGCUUAGAG